GGAUAUCUCAAUUGGUUAGAGCGUGGGGCUGAUAAUGCCAAGGUUGCAGGUUCAAACCCCGUAUGGCACGGCUGCA